rnacentral:lncRNA from 1 species
AUGAGGAGGAGCAUUCAAGAAACCAGGACUUAGAUUCAGCUUCUCACAAACCCCUUUUCUCUGGGUUCCAGGAUCAGCAAGGUGGAGGAGUCAGCCCUGAGAGCCCUGAGACAAAACUUAUUUGCUCAUUCCUCAGACCUGCUUGUGGAAUUUAAGAAGCAUGAUGCCUCUGAGAGUGGUGUGAUCACCCUGAGUGACUGGGCGGUUGCUGUGGAGUCUGUGCUGCACCUGGGAUUGCCAUGGCGGAUGCUACGGCCACAGCUGGUGAACAGUUCGGGGGAUAAUGUGCUGGAGUACAAGUCUUGGUUGGAGAGUUUGGCCAAAGAACAACUGAGCCGAGAGGUAAGGGUGUGAUGGUGGUGACAGAGAGCAUACUGUAGUCUAAACAA